GCAUAUUGCACAUCGUACAACAGUACGAUGUACACAUUUUUGAGUGCCUAUAU
rnacentral:rRNA from 1 species